rnacentral:rRNA from 1 species
CAAUUCAAUAUAGUUUGAUCAGUAUUAUAAGAUUUUAAUUAUUAAAUUGAUUAUAUUUUUGUAAAUCAUUUUUUAAGUUAUUGUAUUAGUUAUAGAUAAAAUUUAGUUAAUUAUUUUAAGUACUGUGAAGGAAUAUUUUGUAAUAAGUUUUAUUGUAAAAUAAGUUGUAUUUAUUGUAUGUACCUUGUGUAUCAGGGUUGAUUUAAUUAGGAAUAUUAAUUUUAUUUUUCUCGAUUUCUUAAGAGUUAAUUAUUUAUUUUAGUUAAUGUGUUAAAUUUAUUAAUAAUAAGUUAUUAGUGAUGAAAUGUCAUUCGUUUAAGAGGGUAUCUAGUUUCCUUGGAAAUAAAUUUAAUUUAGAUUUUCUUUUGGAUUAUUAAUAUUAAUGAAUAAUUUUUAAAGAAAAUUUAUAAUAAAAGGGAUAAGCUUUUUAUUAAAUUUUUAAAAGAUUAAUAGUAGAUAAAUACCAUGGAUUUAAGGUUGAUUAUUGUUGAAAGUAUGUUAAAAUUUUACUUAGUUAUAUUGUUGAUUUAAUGUUCUUUAACAGUUUACUAGGAUAUAUUAAUUAUUGAUAAACUAAUAUUAUUUAUGAUUAAAUUAGUAAAUAAAAUAUAUUGAGAAAUAUAGGGGAUUUAAGUUGUGAGUGAGGAAUUCGGCAAUAAUUUAUUCGCCUGUUUAACAAAAACAUCUCUUUCUGAAUUUUUUAGAAGGUAUUACCUGCCCAAUGAAUAAUAUUAAAUGGCCGCGGUAUCUUGACCGUGCAAAGGUAGCAUAAUCAUUAGUCUUUUAAUUGAAGGCUGGAAUGAAUGGUUGGACGAGAUAAAUGCUUUCUUAUUACAAUUAUAUUGAAGUUAAUUAUUGAGUAAAAAAGCUUAAAUUUUUUUAUGGGACGAGAAGACCCUAUAGAGUUUAAUAUAUAAAAUGAUUUAUAAAAUUUUUGUGAAUUGAAAGUUAAAUGUUUAUAUAUUUUGUUGGGGUGACAGAAAGAUUAAAUAAACUCUUUUUAGAUUUUAAUUAUUAAUAAGUAUAUUAAUGAUCCAUCAUUGAUGAUUAUAAGACUAAAUUACCUUAGGGAUAACAGCGUAAUCUUUUCUGAGAGUUCAAAUCGAAGUUAAGGAUUGCGACCUCGAUGUUGGAUUUAAGAUUAGAAUUGGGUGUAACAGCUAAAAUUUCUAGGUCUGUUCGACCUUUAAUUUCUUACAUGAUCUGAGUUCAAACCGGCGUGAGCCAGGUUGGUUUCUAUCUAUUGUUAUAUAAUAUAUCUUAGUACGAAAGGACCAGAUAUAUAGAAUAAUUUUUUGUUGUGAAUAAUAUUAAAGACUAUUUUGGCAGAGAAGUGUGAUAGAUUUAGAAUCUAUAAAUGUAAUUG